rnacentral:rRNA from 1 species
CGCCUGAUUUACACUAUCAGGUAGACUCUGCCCAAUGAUUUUUAAAUGGCCGCAGUAUCUUGACUGUGCUAAGGUAGCAUAAUAAUUUGUCUCUUAAUUGGAGGCUCGAAUGAACGAGCUGACGAAGAGGUCUCUGUCUCAGGGAGGACAAAGGAAAUUUAUACUCAGGUAAAAAAUCCUGAAAGUUGUAGAGGGACGAUAAGACCCUAAAAGCUUUAUAUCCUUAACCCCUGAAAUUUUUCUAACUAGAUUAGGGUUACUGGAUUUUUGCUGGGGCGGCACCUCUACUUAACUAGAGGGGUAAAAACACCUUGAGUGAAACCAACUACCCUUACUUAGGUUUUUAGCAAAGUUACUUUAGGGAUAACAGCGUAAUCCCCUGAGAGAGCCCGUAUUGACCAGGGAGUUUGCGACCUCGAUGUUGAAUUGAAGACUUAGCUAAAGCAGCAUUUGGCAAAAAGAAGACUGUUCGUCUUUUAAACCUUC